rnacentral:rRNA from 1 species
CCCUUAGAUGUCCUGGGCCGCACGCGCGUUACACUGAUGCAUUCAACGAGCUUAUAACCUUGGCCGAGAGGCCUGGGCAAUCUUGUUAACGUGCAUCGUGAUAGGGAUAGAUUAUUGAAAUUAUUAAUCUUGAACGAGGAAUUCCUAGUAAACGCAGAUCAUCAAUCCGCAUUGAUUACGUCCCUGCCCUUUGUACACACCGCCCGUCGCACCUACCGAUUGGAUGGUCCGGUGAAGCCUCGGGAUUGUGGUUCUUGCCGCUUUAUUGUAGCGUGACCGCGAGAACUUGUCUAAACCUUAUCAUCUAGAGGAAGGUGAAGUCGUAACA